CCUACGGGCGGCUGCAGUGAGGAAUAUUGGUCAAUGGGCGCGAGCCUGAACCAGCCAAGUCGCGUGAAGGAUGACUGCGCUACGGGUUGUAAACUUCUUUUAUAAAGGAAUAAAGUGAGGCACGUGUGCCUGUUUGUAUGUACUUUAUGAAUAAGGAUCGGCUAACUCCGUGCCAGCAGCCGCGGUAAUACGGAGGAUCCGAGCGUUAUCCGGAUUUAUUGGGUUUAAAGGGAGCGUAGAUGGGUUGUUAAGUCAGGUGUGAAAGUUUGCGGCUCAACCGUCAAAUUGCAAUUGAUACUGGCAGUCUUGAGUACAGGUGAGGUAGGCGGAAUGCGCGGUGUAGCGGUGAAAUGCUUAGAUAUUACGAAGAACUCCGAUUGCGAAGGCAGCCUACUA
rnacentral:rRNA from 1 species